CAAAGAUUUAUCGCUGGAAGAUGGCCUCGCGUCUGAUUAGCUAGUAGGCGGGGUAACGGCCCACCUAGGCGACGAUCAGUAGCCGGACUGAGAGGUUGACCGGCCACAUUGGGACUGAGAUACGGCCCAGACUCCUACGGGAGGCAGCAGUGGGGAAUAUUGGGCAAUGGGCGCAAGCCUGACCCAGCAACGCCGCGUGAAGGAAGAAGGCUUUCGGGUUGUAAACUUCUUUUAAGAGGGAAGAGCAGAAGACGGUACCUCUUGAAUAAGCCACGGCUAACUACGUGCCAGCAGCCGCGGUAAUACGUAGGUGGUAAGCGUUGUCCGGAUUUACUGGGUGUAAAGGGCGUGCAGCCGGGCUGACAAGUCAGAUGUGAAAUCCCGCGGCUCAAUCGCGGAACUGCAUUUGAAACUGUUAGUCUUGAGUACCGGAGAGGUCAUCGGAAUUCCUUGUGUAGCGGUGAAAUGCGUAGAUAUAAGGAAGAACACCAGUGGCGAAGGCGGAUGACUGGACGGCAACUGACGGUGAGGCGCGAAAGCGUGGGGAGCAAACAGGAUUAGAUACCCUGGUAGUCCACGCUGUAAACG
rnacentral:rRNA from 1 species